UCUACAACACACUUUCAGAAACGUUUCAAACGUGUGUUAUGAGGAGGAAAAUACAUGAUAAGACUGUCCGUCUUUACUGAAGACGUAGCCCUCCUCCGUUUUUGUUUACAAGUAGGUACCUAACUUUGACAAGCAAACAUGGCGCCGUCAAUCAGCCGUUAAAAGGUGACAAAAUAAACUGCCAACAAUGGCGAACGCAGAUGGAAAAAGUGACCAUUACGACGAUGGAGGAUUGGCUUAAAAACUCUUGCUGACUUCUUCGAGUUUCAUAGUAAGAAACAACAGUCACAAAAGUGUUCAAAAGCUUGAUUUGGGAUUGAAAUUGAGGAUUGAAGUUGAUGCCGAAUCAUUGGACCGUUACCCCUGACCAUCCUGAAAGGAGACUCUCUGUCUGGAGGGGGCCGCCUCAGGGGACAAGACGUGACGUAGAAAAUAGAAGCAGAAGAGACAGAAGAAGAAGAUAUACCUAAUUAAUCCCUCAAGCCAUCCCAGGGUUGACGGUUUAUUUGGACACUGUGGACAGUGGAAAUGGAAAAAUACAGAGACAGAGUGGACUAGCAUGUACGUA